rnacentral:rRNA from 1 species
CCCUUAGAUGUUCUGGGCUGCACGCGCGCUACACUGAUGCGCUCAACGAGUUUAUAACCUUGUCCGGCAGGAUUGGGUAAUCUUUUUAAAACGCAUCGUGAUGGGGAUAGAUUAUUGCAAUUAUUAAUCUUCAACGAGGAAUUCCUAGUAAGCGCGAGUCAUCAGCUCGUGCUGAUUACGUCCCUGCCCUUUGUACACACCGCCCGUCGCUCCUACCGAUUGAGUGGUCCGGUGAGGCUUUGGGAUCUGAGCGGAAAGAGCGUUUCGCUGUUUCUGCCCGGAAAACUCAGUCGAACCUUAUCAUUUAGAGGAAGGAGAAGUCGUAACA